AUUGAACGCUGGCGGCAGGCCUAACACAUGCAAGUAGAACGAGUGGCGGACGGGUGCGUAAGGUCAGGGAAACGGCCGGAUGGAGGGGGAUAACUAAUGGAAACGGUAGCUAAUACCGCAUAGCAUCAGAGGUGACCAGAGGGGAUUAGCUAGUUGGUGGGGUAACGGCUCACAAAGGGGACGAUCCCUAGCUGGUCUGAGAGGAUGACCGUCCACACUGGAACGGAGACACGGUCCAGACUCCUACGGGAGGCAGCAGUGGGGAAGAUUGCCCAAUGGGCGCAAGCCUGAUUCAGCCAUGCCGCGUGUAUGAAGAAGGCCUGCGGGUUGUAAAGUACUUUCAGCGGUGAGGCGUUACCCGCAGAAGAAGCACCGGCUAACUCCGUGCCAGCAGCCGCGGUAAUUC
rnacentral:rRNA from 1 species